rnacentral:lncRNA from 1 species
GUAGAAAACACAAAGGACCCAUGGAGCAUGUUUUACAACAAAUCCUUUUAUUUAUGAUAAAACCUUUACCAUCCACUUACCUCGGUGGAAUUUAUGAAACAAUAUAAGAAAAACAAUAACAUUAUCAUAAUCAUGGAAUAAUAUAAGCUGUAAAACAUAACACUUAUCACGCCUCUUGUAAUUCAAUCAUUAUACAACAUAUCUUUUUCUCAUUUACCAGCCUAGUAGUAUCCGUGGGGGUCCAUAGGGGUCCCGCUACCCGUUAACCUUUAACAUUCAUAAUCAGUUUCCAAGGCCGUCCCCAUACCCCGUCCGAUAUGGGCGCCAAAACCAUAAGAUCUCAAUACCCCGUCCGGCAUGUGAGACCACAAUCCCGGUAGGGUUCCCUACGGACCCGGUCCGUCCACCAUCUCACAGGAUAUCUUGUCAAGCUGACCCCAUAAUACAAUUAUCAGUCUACACAAUUUUUAUUUUCCUUUUCCUCAGUCAGCAUCAUCAAUUCACAUUUAAACAAGCAAAUCGUAAUUCAUGCCAAACAGACAACAUACAGUAUCAGUUUUUCAGUCAUUCAACCCAUAAUUAAUAAAAACGUAGUAUAUGCACACAAAUCUGUAAAAUGAACACAUCAAACCUCAUUUUGCAUUUAAAGCUGUAAACAGGCCAAAUAACAGUAAAUCACCAAUCACACUAGACUCGGGCUCCAUUAGCCACCUUAAGCAAUUUCACACAUUCGUUAAUUCAAGAAAUACCGUUUUAUCAUUUUGAACUUUAAUACCGUGAUAGGAAAUAGGGUGAGGGGUCCUUACCUGUUUUCGGGAUUCAAAUACGAUUCACAGUGCGCCUACAGGCUGUUCCUAAUUUUUCCUAAAUUUUUUCCGGGGAACUGAAACGCACUAACGGUACCUGUACGUGUUCCAAAAAAUCUCAAAUUAGGCUCAGGGCCCCUUUUUGGCCAAUAUCGCAACUCCGGCACGGCGGCUCCGCCGUGCUCCGGCGACAAGCGGCGGCGAUUCGCCUCGGGUUGGCUGUUUUCGGCCGUUUUUGGCCGAAUUCGGCCACACUCGCAUCGGUCCCUGCGAGAAAACAACCCUAGGGCCCUCAGGGGGCCAAAAAAUCACGGAAAAAUGGAGCUUACCGACGGCAGCGCUCUCGGGUGCAGCGGCUCUCCGGCGAGGUUCGUGUUUUGGUGAUUCGGCUCCGGUCAACCUGUAGAGAAAAGAAUGGUGAUCACGGUGAUAUAAAAAUUGCAUCAAACGGAGGCCGGGAAGGGCCUCGUCGGAGGCAAAAACCGAGAAGGGGC